rnacentral:rRNA from 1 species
CAGCCGUAAACUAUGCGCGUUAGGUGUACUGGUGACCACGAGUCACCGGGGUGCCGAAGGGAAACCGUGAAACGUGCCGCCUGGGAAGUACGGUCGCAAGGCUGAAACUUAAAGGAAUUGGCGGGGGUGCACCACAACGGGUGGAGCCUGCGGUUUAAUUGGACUCAACGCCGGAAAUCUCACCGGAUAGGACAGACAUAUGAUAGUCGGGCUGAAGACUCUACUUGAUGAUCUGAGAGGAGGUGCAUGGCGUGUGACUGU